rnacentral:rRNA from 1 species
AUGGCGACCGUGAUGGAGGAGGCUGCUGCUAAGGCGGUGGUCGGAGCCGGCGAAAAGGCGGAGGCGGUUGCUACGCCGGAGAAGGUUGAUGAGGUGAAGCAGGCGGGUGCGGGCGGGGAGGAGAUGGAGGUCGCCGGCGGUGAGGCGAAGAAGGCGGAGGAAGGUGGUGAGGUGAAGAAGGCGGAGGGGGAGGAGAAGAAGCCGAGGAGCAGGAAGCCCCGGUCGGCGGGGCCGCACCACCCGCCCUACUUCGAGAUGAUCAAGGAGGCGAUCAUGGCGGCGGGCGACGGCCAGGCGGGGGCGAGCGCGUACGCGAUCGCGAAGCGCGUCGGGGAGCGGCACGGGGAGGCGCUGCCGGGCAACUACCGCAAGGUGCUGGCCGCGCAGCUGCGGAGCUUCGCCGCCAAGGGCCGGCUCGUCCGGGUCAAGGCCUCCUUCCGCCUCGCUCCCGCCGAGGAGAAGAAGGCCCUGCCGGCCAAGAAGAGGACCACCAAGAAGGCCGCGUCGAAGAAGGCGCGGCCGAAGAGGGCGAAGAAGGCCGGGCCGCCGCCGGCGAAGCCGAAGCCGAAGCAGCCCAAGUCGAUCCGCGCCCGGAAGGCCAACAAGGCCAGCGCCUGA